rnacentral:misc_RNA from 2 species
CUGCGAGUUCGCGGGAGAGUAGGUUAUUGCCAGGGUUUUUAUUUUUAUACUUUAAACUUUGAUUUUAUUUUUAUGUUUUUUAAAUAUUGGUGUUUUUGAAUGUGUUGUUUAAAUAACAUAAAAAAUAAAAUAUAUAUUGACAUGUAUUAAACAAAGAUAUAUAUUAUUUUAUGUUGUAUAAAUAAAUUGGCAAAAUAGAGAUGGAAGAUAAAAAUAUGGUCAAAGUAAUAAGAGUCUAUGGUGAAUGCCUAGGA